rnacentral:rRNA from 1 species
GACAGAGGGUGCAAACGUUGCUCGGAUUGACUGGGCGUAAAGCGCGUGUAGGUGGUCACGCCAGUCCGGUGUGAAAGCCCAGGGCUCAACCCUGGAAGUGCACCGGAUACUACGUGGCUGGAGUUCUGUAGAGGAGAGCGGAAUUCCCGGUGUAGAGGUGAAAUUCGUAGAUAUCGGGAGGAACACCAGUGGCGAAGGCGGCUCUCUGGACAGGUACUGACACUGAGACGCGAAAGCGUGGGUAGCAAACAGG